CAUCUUCAAAAACAAACGAUAUAUUUAUAAAAAAAAACAAACAGCUUAUGAAAUCAAUGCUCAGUUAAUCUUAAGUACCUAACUCAAAGACGCCUACAUCUAUAACAUUACUAAAUUACAAUAUUUGGAUGGUUAAGCGAAUUCUGUACAACUUAAUGUUUAUUCUGCAUGUAUAAAAUGCUAUUUUAGUACAAUUUUUAGUCUAAGUUAUGAAGAUAAUCUAAAGCUUUUUUUUAAAUGUUUACAAAGGAACAGGUAAAUAGUAUUAUAAUUGUAAUUGUACAUUUUCUAAUAUUACAUUUAUUAAAGCCUAUAAUAGUACAUUUAAGGUAAGGCCGCGAUUACACCUGUAAGUUUAACUCACGUAAGUAGCUUACCUAAUUAAUUGAUAACUAUUUUAACUAUCGUGAGUAAUUUCCAUUAUAAGUAUAUAUUGUUACGGCUAUACUCACAUAUUUAGUCGAAACUAGUUGGGUUUACGUAACAAUCAAUACUUACUUAUAAGAAUGUUUACAUACGUUUUACCGUAAGUUAUUCGUGUAAGCUACUUACGUGAGUAAAACUUAAGGUAUCUCCGCGAUCUAAUAUCAUACGGGUGCUUAGUAUGAGAUUAUACAUCUCACCAAGUAAAAUCGACCUUAUUUGCUCAGUGUUAAAGCUAAGUCGCAAUCGAAUCGCAGGGAGCCGCUGGAUGUAGGCGGCGCAAGACCUUGGCGUGCAAGUCUCUACAAGGGACCUAUGUUCAACAGUGGACGUCUAUCGGUUGAUGAUGAUGAUGAGAGUUAAAGUUCAUCUAAGCAUCUAUAGCCAGCGCUCCAAGCGGAAGUCAUUUUAAAAUUAAAUCAGUGAUAUUGAAUUUUUAACUUUAUACCAAUGACUUCUAAGUUGAUUUUACUUUGAGGUUUUUGUGCUUCGACACUCAAAUUCUACCAACGUUGGUGUAGAUGUACAAUCUCAUACUAUACACACAGGUCGAAUCGCAAAAAAGAACUAAAAAAAGGUAAGUAGUCUCUAUAAACCAUAACAUAAAAGUUACUGUCACAUAUAAAGUUAUGUGGCGGUAACCAAACGGUAACUGUUCUAAAUAAAUUAAACUUAAAAUAUAAAUAUAAUUUCAGUAAUAUCUGCUAGCAUUAAUAGGUACUUCUGUUUAGUAUCGGAAUAGCAACUUAGCUUUAAAUAUAAAGGUGCAAACACAUUGCUUUGGUGUGGUGUGUCGGAAUGCUAAGUGUAGGUGCACACGUGCAGAGCGGACUUGUCCGAAGCCUUAAGACGUAGACAGUUUCUAUCCGACAUGGCAGUAUAUUAUAGUUGUCAUAUAAUGACGACUGUUCAGCUUUGCUUGAAAUAGUGAGUGUACUGAUAAGCGUCAACGCAUUUGUGUGUGUAACCUUAACCGCAUCGCGGUCAAUACUGCGCCACGCACACUAUAACAAUGUGUACAUAAUAUGUGCACUCAUACAAACAUAGCCAAACAGCCUUAAAAGGAAAUUGAAACCAUACGUUUUAGGGCCGGCGCACAUAAUAUGGCGGAGCGCAGCGCAGAGCAUUUUUCACAGUCAACAAAAUAUUAUUGACAUUGUCCUCAUUGAAAUAAUAUCAAAAAUCAAUUGUGCAUCCGAACGGAUACUCGCGCAUCCGCGCGCAGUCCCGCGCGUGCUCGCGCAUUCUCAGGUAGAAAUUCGCGUAAUGUGUCACGGGAUUAGAAAACUUCGCGGGCAUGCUCUGCGCUAUGCUCCGCCAUGUGUGCCGUCCCUUAGGUUGCCGUUCAACCAUAGAAAUGGAAUACGUCUAAUACGUUGCAAUACACCAGAACAUCGUUGUGUUUGUAACUUAAGGUACGUAAGCACAAUAAAAGCAAUUACAAUGGAAUCAUAUACUUAGGUUCAAACGGAAAUGACUGACUUAAGGAGUCUUCUUACUAGUAGGCCAGCAUUAAAACCGACCACUUCUCAAAUAGGCACCCAACGACCACUACGACGGCACUAGAUGAGUCGUUCUGAACAAAAAAUCCGAGUUGCAACUCGCUUUUAACUUGAUGGCCAGUGUCAUACUAAGUUUCACAAUUUCAUAGAACACUUUGUUCAGAAUAACCAUCAAUGAGUGAAUCAAUCUAAUGCGUAGAAAAUAGAACACACACAAGUAUGCUGGACCGACUUAUUUUUGAAACUUGACUUUUGCCGUUUUGGCGCUAAUAGCAUCAGUGAGCGUCAUGUGAGCGUACUCGGAACUAAAAUGUUACUGAUAAGACAUCUGGUAAUACAUUGUCAACACUAGGACUUAUCAUUUUGCAUUCACAGUACGCUCGGUGAGGCGCUU